rnacentral:rRNA from 1 species
AUGGAGGAAGUAUAUUCACCUGAGCUUGCGGAUAAGAGUAAAGGAAGGAUGAUAAAUCAAGGAGCCCCCAGGUCUGAGGGUAGGAGGAUAGCUAAGUUUGCUGAUAAGAAGAAAGGAAAUAUGGCAGAUGAAGGAGCAAAGCUGGUAGAUAAGAAGGGAAGGAUAGCAGAUGAAGAAAAAGAAUAUGGAGUUGAGCUUGAGGAAGAAUUGUCUGUUCUCGAAGACAUCAGACUGCUCCAUAGGCCGAAUUACACACGUGAAUUGUUCUGCCUGGAUAAGAUGGUUGUACAUCUUGCUGCAGGGCGCCCGGUGAGCAAUGCAUUAGAAGAAUAUCUGAGGCCCCGGGCGUCAGAUCCGGAUUCAGAGUAUCUUGUCACGCCAUUCAGCAAGUUUAGUCGUUCCCAGGAGGAAAAGAAAAAAGAAACUAACCCAGACAUUGAGAAAACAACUAGCGACAUGAAACGCCUGCGUGCUAAGUUGUCAGAUAAUCUGCAUAAAAGCCUAAACGCCGUACCCAAUGUUAACAUGGCAGUAAACAGAGCAGGCAUUGCAAAUCUUGGAAAUACAUGCUACGCAAGUUGCACUUUGCAAUCUCUGCAUUCGAUUGGGGAACUCAAAUCUGCAUUGUAUAGCUAUCCAGACGAUGUGCAGGUUAAUGAGGAUCAAAAAUCACAUAAUUUGACUAUUGCCACGCGAAACAUGUUCCAUGAGCUUGAUCAAAAUACUGGUACUGUUCAGCCCCAGCACUUCUUACAGACGCUACGGGAAUCAUCCCCACAGUUCAAAGAAAAGGAAGGUGAUGGGUACAGGCAACAGGAUGCCGCGGAAUGCUGGACACUUUUGGUGAAUACAAUUUCAUCGACUCUUACAACACAAGCAAGUGAUCCAGCAUCUGCACCAAUAAAAAAUAUUUUCAAGAUUGAUCUUCUGGAGAGGCACCACUGCACAGCGAAUGGUGAGGAUAAAGAAUACAAAAAUUCAGUUUAUGAUCUGAAGUGUUCUAUCUCUGAUCGUGUACAUCACCUCAACGAAGGACUUAAGCUCGAAGUGCAAUAUCCAUUGGAGUUGGAUGUUCUCGACUUUUGUUCAGCUGAGCUCAAAACUAAAAUCCAAGCUUGUCGACAGGCCGCCAAGGAUGCGGCUAAGGUUGCUGAUCGUGCCUAUGAUGAGAGGGCUCUGGCUUAUGAGGAGGCUCUUCAGACGUAUCAUGGUGCUUUGUCUGUUUACACCCAGUGGCUUGAUGAUGAUGCUCGUGCUGCCGCUGUUCUCACUGCUAGUGUUCUGCCUCAGUUUGCUUCUGAGUUUCUGGGUCUUCCUACUGUCUUCCAGAUGUGGACCUGUCUUCGUCAGCGCUAUGAGCCCUCUGGUGAUGCCUUAUACCUGUCUGUGGUUCGUCAGGAGCAUGCUCUUCAGCAGGGUGACUCUACUGUUGAUGACUUUUAUGCACAGAGUUCUGCUAUCUGGCGCCAGCUUGAUUCUCUCCGCAGUGCUGGUUGUCGUACUUGCCCCUGCUGCCAGGCUGUCCAGGCCGAUUUGGAGUUUCAUCGCGUCUACGAGUUCCUGUCUCGGCUCCGAGACUCGCCUACGCGGUGCUGGUUUGCUGGAGGUUCCCUCGGUGCUCGCUACUCGGGUUUCUUCCACUCCACCUGCUGCACCGCCUCCUGCUCGCUCGAGUGCUCCGCCGCUCUUGCCCACUCCUUCUGGUGGCUCCGCUCGCCCCCGUUCACAUUGUGA